rnacentral:rRNA from 1 species
AACAGGAAGGGGAGGGGGGAGAUGGAGAGUCGAGGGACUGUCGCUGGCACUCUGAGUUUAUUUGGAGUGCAUGUGCACGUCUCUCAGCUUGACGUCGACCCUUUUCUCAUCCAUACUCAUUACACCUGUGCACCUUUUGUAGGUCCUCGAAAGAGGAUCUAUGUCUUUAUCACAUCACACCCGUCGUAUGUCUAGAAUGUCAACAUCAUGUAUCGUAGACCGUCGGAAGGCGGUUCGGUCGAUAUAUGAUCAUAAAUUACAACUUUCAGCAAUGGAUCUCUUGGUUCUCGCAUCGAUGAAGAACGCAGCGAAUUGCGAUAAGUAAUGUGAAUUGCAGAUUUCCAGUGAAUCAUCGAAUCUUUGAACGCACCUUGCGCUCCUUGGUAUUCCGAGGAGCAUGCCUGUUUGAGUGUCAUUUAAUUAUCAACCAUGUCUCGAUUGAUUUCGGGCGCAUGGCUUGGAUGUGGGGGUUGCUGGCCGUGAAAGCGGUCGGCUCUCCUUAAAUGCAUUAGCAAAAGGGGUGUGCUAUGGUCUUCUGGACGUGCACGGCCUUCGAUGUGAUAAUGAUCGUCGUGGCUGGAGCGUCUGAUAAUAAGGCCAUGCACAGAGAGCCCGUUUUGCUUCUAAUGACAAGAUUCUCUCGUCUUAGUGGUCGGAAGCACUGCUAGCUAUUAGUCUACUAGCCUAUUAGCCUACUAGUCCAAUGGACGAACGGUGAAACAGUGAACGGCGAACGUGGCAAGGCGGAUGGGGAUAAGCUAGACUUGAGAUGAAAUAUAUAU